GAAACCUGGUUGAUCCUGCCAGUAGUCAUAUGCUUGUUUCAAGGAUUAAGCCAUGCAAGUCUCAGAGUAAAUGGAUUAACAGUGGGUCUGCAGACGGCUCAUUAAAUCGGUGGCAAUCUACGCGGGGAAGGUGCCUUUUGGGCCCAGUUGGAUAACAAUGGUAACUCCAUUGCUAAUACAUGUCCGAAGAAUCCAACUCGAUUCAACUCCGUGGCCUUAAAACCGCGGGGUCGAGGUGGAUACAAUUGACCGAGAUAAGAACCAACGCUAGCAAUAGCAGCGGUGUGUGGAUGAAACAGGUCAAUCGAGUGAUAGCACACGACUUCAAGUCGGUGCAAGCCCGCAAGAGCUUCUGCCCUAUCAGCUUUUGACGGUAGUGUAGUGGACUACCGUGGCUGUAACGGGUAACGGGGAAUUAGGGUUCGAUUCCGGAGAGGGAGCCUGAGAAACGGCUACCACAUCUAAGGAUGGCAGCAGGUACGCAAAUUGCCCAAUAGCAACACUGCUGAGGCAGCGAAGAGAAAUAGCCUCGACACGUACUUAGUACGUUAGAAGCAAUGGAUGAUAUCUAAACCUGUCAAUGAACACAAUUGGUGGACAAGUCUGGUGCCAGCACCCGCGGUAAUUCCAGCACCAAUAGCGUAUAUUAAUGCUGCUGCUGUUAAAAAGCUCGUAGUUGGAUCCAGAGCUCAGGUUGCAAGGUGGCCCAGUUUGCUGGGCAUCAGCGUACUGCUGGUAUUCAGAAGGCUGGGAUAAACCCCUCGCAUCAAGACCUGUGCUCUAUGAACGGUGGUAAUGGUGCCUUGCAAGUAAUCUCUUCAUCGGGAUGAAAGCGCUUACGCGUACACCAUACGCAUACGGGUCGACCACCGAUGUUACUGUGAACAAACCAGCGUGCCCAAAGCAGGCGUUCGCCGUGAAUGAUAAAGCAUGGAAUAACAAGGGAUCGAUUCUCUCGACUCUUUUUGUUGGUCUCUUAACCCGAGAAGGAAUAAUCAAAACGAAGUUCUUAGCGGUUCUCUUUUGAGUUUCGUCUAAGGCCUCGUUGCGCGGGAUCAAUAGGGACUGCCGGGGUCGUACGUACUCCUACGUCAGAGGUGAAAUUCUUAGAUCGUAGGAAGACGAACUUCUGCGAAAGCAUUCGACAAGAAUGUCUUCAUUAAUCAAGAACGAGAGCGUGGGGAUCCAAGAUGAUCAGAUACCGUCGUAGUCCACUGCUGUAAACGAUGCCGUCUCAGGAUCGAGGGAAGUCAUUUUGGCUCCCACGGCACUCCCCGAACGAGAAAUCAAAGAUUAUGGGUUCAGGGGGGAGUACAUUCGCAAGGCUGAAACUUAAAGGAAUUGACGGAAUGACACCACCAGGCGUGGAGUAUGCGGCUUAAUUUGACUCAACACGGGGAAUUUUACUAGGUCAGGACGAUCUCAAGGAUUGACAGAUUGAGAGCUCUUUCUCGAUGAAUUGUGUGGUGGUGCAUGGCCGCUCCUGGUUGGUGGAGUGAUUUGUCAGGUUGAUUCCGUUAACGAACGAGAUCUCGACCCUUAAAUAGGUGGGCGUGUCGUUGUAGGGGGUGUCUUUUGGCAUCGGCGGCUUGCUGCUUACCCGAGACGCGCACUACUUCUUAAGGGGACUGCGCGCGACUUAUAGCGCGCGGAAGAGCGAGCCAAUAGCAGGUCUGUGAUGCUCCUAAAUGUCCUAGGCUGCACGCGCACUACACUGACGCAUUAAACGAGUUUGAGAGCCUUCCGGCUACCUAUCUUGAAGAGGAUGGGAAAUCUUUUGAACUUGCGUCGUGAUGAGGAUCGAUGAUUGCAAUUAUUCUCCUUGAAUGAGGAAUGCCUAGUAGGCGCAAGUCAUCAGCUUGCACUGAUUACGUCCCUGCCAUUUGUACACACCGCCCGUCGUUGCUACCGAUUGGCUGUGGGAUAGAGCUUGGGAGAGGGAAGCUCGUUCUUGGCAACAAGUUCAGCGCCCGAAUCCAAGCAAUGUUUCUCAGCUAGAGGAAGCAAAAGUCGUAACAAGGUUGCUGUAGGUGAACCUGCAGCAGGAUCAUUAC
rnacentral:rRNA from 1 species